GGGGUCAGCAGAGGCUGUAGUAGGCAAGAGUUACAGUGUAACUCUUUGAAUUAGUUUUAUUCCUUAUUUUUUCCAUAAAUUUAAUGUUAAGGAAACUCCUAGUAAACACCUUACUGGAAAAACUCUUAUCUCAGAGUCUGUCGCUCAGGGAGCCCAAACCAUAACCACAAUUGUACAUCUUUAGAUGCUAAAACAUAACUGUCAACCAGAAUUUUAUGUGAAGCAAAUUCUCUUUCAAAAAAGAUAGCAAAAUAUUUCCAGAUGAACAAAAGCUGAGGACAUGUGUCACCAGCAGAUGUGUACAGAGAAUUCUUCAAGUUGAAGGAGAAUUACACCAGAUGGGGUGAGCAGAAUAAAUGCCUCUGUUUAAUCUGCCAUGAAAACUGGAAACUUCUCUCCGCCUUCCUAAACAGUAGUGUGAUAUGGGGAGGAAGAGAGUGAAAGAGAGGUAUCGCACCUGCAGAGGAAAUUAUCAGUUGGAGAGAGGGGACAAGAUGCUUCCCCCUAAGAUCAGGAACAGGACAAGGCCAUCUGCUCUCACCACUCCUAUGCAACGUUAUCUUGAAAGUCUGAGGUACUGCAAAGACAACACAAUGAAAUAAAAGGUAUGCAGGUUGGGAAGUAAGAAAUAAAACUGUCUUUACUGGCAUCUGACGUGAUUGUCUAUGUAGAAAUUCCAAAAAAAUCAAUAGAAUGAAUACUUGAUCGUAGUAAGGACACAAUAUGAGGUUAAUAUAAAAAAGUCAAUCGCAAUUUUAUAUACCAACAAUGAAGAAGGAAUUUGGAACACACAAAAACAUUUACAUUGGCACUUCAAAGGAAAGAGGUUAGGUAUAAAUCUAACAAAAUGUGAAUAAGCUCUAUAAUAGGAAAACUACAAAGCUCUGAUGAAAGAAGAUAUAAAUGAAGAGAUAUACUUCAUGCAUAAAAAUAGGAUGACAAUGCUGCCAACUGUCAUUUCUGACUCCAUCUAUAGACUCAAUGUGUUCCCAAAGAAUAGCACAGAAAUAUGACCACCAAGCUAUUACCAAACUGGUCUUUAGCAAAAGAGUAAAGGCAAUGCAAUGGAGAAUGGACAGCCUUUUCAACAGAUGGUUCUGGAACAAGUGGACAUCUACACACAAAAAGUCACUGCAGACAUCUUUCACAAGUUAAUGAAAUUAAAUCAGACCUAAAUGUAAAACAAAACUAGUAAACUUCCGAAAGAUAAGAGAAGUGAUCUUGGG
ensembl:lncRNA